rnacentral:rRNA from 1 species
AUUGAACGCUGGCGGCAGGCCUAACACAUGCAAGUCGAACGAGUGGCGGACGGGUGAGCAAGUGCUGGGAAACUGCCUGAUGGAGGGGGAUAACUACGAGAAAAGGUAGCUAAUAACGCAUACGUUCGGCUGUGCCAAGAUGGGAUUAGCUAGCAGGUGGGGUAAAGGCUCACCUAGGCGACGAUCCCUAGCUGGUCUGAGAGGAUGACCAGCCACACUGGAACUGAGACACGGUCCAGACUCCUACGGGAGGCAGCAGUGGGGAAUAUUGCACAAUGGGCGAAAGCCUGAUGCAGCCAUGCCGCGUGUAUGAAGAAGGCCUUCGGGUUGUAAAGUACUUUCAGUCGGGAGGCGUUACCGACAGAAGAAGCACCGGCUAACUCCGUGCCAGCAGUCGCGGUAAUUC